rnacentral:lncRNA from 1 species
GGUGGCGGUUCUUUUACGUAGGAUAACAAAUUUAUGCCAGAAAAAAACUAAACCGACUCAAUUUCCAAUAAACAAUUUAUCUGAUUCAAGGUCAUUUUAAGCAUGUAAACAUAACCCUGUUCGUUUGUCCAAGGUUAUAUUCAUUGAACGUAAACACAAAUGACGUACGAAUGUUUAUUAUUGAAUGGCUUUUUUACGAAAUUAUAGUCAAGUGGUUGUCUUCAAGUUUCGAUCUAAUUUUUUAGUUGUUAAAGACAAUUAGAUCCCCCUUUUAGUGGAUAGAAAUAUUUAAAAGUUUAUUUUGGUUUAAAUCCAUUAAAAGUAAGCAUACAAUGUACAUGCAUUCACAAAUGGUAGAUAAAUGAUGUAAUAAAUAAGCUCAAUUAUCUGUUCUGUUUAUAAAAAUUAAAUUUGUUUGAGAAGACUUUUUAUGGUAGGAUGCGGACUUUGGUCAUUUUGAAUUGUAAAAUAGCAAAAAACAUAAUAGAUCUUCAACUUUUAUGACAAAUACAAUUUUUUUUAGACAUUGAAUUCCAUUUUAUAUUUUUUUAAAUGCGGUGGCUUGUAUAAUUUCGUAAUGCUACUGGCUUUCCUGGAGCUUCGCUGCCAUGUUUUGGCAUUAUUUACGGCUUCAGUAUUCACAGGUGAAAAAAAAACUGUAGCUUUGAAACAAAGCUGAACAUUCACAAACAUGUUUAACCUCACCACACUCUGUAUGUGCCUAUAUAUCUCAUACCAGCAGCCUGCUUUAAGUGGUUCUCGUUGGUUUAGCUGUUAGUCAUAUUUGUUUUUUCGUUUAUUGUCUGUAGCAUAGUUCACACCGCCCCCAUAACAGUUACAACAUAAGAACAAAUUGUAAAAUAUAGUUAUGUAUACAGAAAUGAUUCGACUCAUCAGCUAUAUAUACAACUACAAUAACCUCACCAAUAUACAUCUUAUGUUAAGAAAAAAAGGAAACUUCCUGUUAAUAUUUUUUACGUUUCUUAUUU